UUCCUACGGGGCGCAGCAGUGAGGAAUAUUGGUCAAUGGCCGGAAGGCUGAACCAGCCAAGCCGCGUGAAGGACGAAGGUGCCAAGCAUUGUAAACUUCUUUUGUCAAGGGACAAAAUCAGGCUCGAGAGCCUGACCGAGGGUACUUGAAGAAAAAGCAUCGGCUAACUCCGUGCCAGCAGCCGCGGUAAUACGGAGGACGCGAGCGUUAUCCGGAUUUAUUGGGUUUAAAGGGUGCGUAGGCGGACUGUUAAGUCAGUUGUGAAAGUUUGCGGCUCAACCGUAAAAUUGCAGUUGAAACUGGCA
rnacentral:rRNA from 1 species